rnacentral:rRNA from 1 species
AGAGUUUGAUCCUGGCUCAGGACGAACGCUGGCGGCGUGCUUAACACAUGCAAGUCGAACGGUAAGGCCCUUUCGGGGUACACGAGUGGCGAACGGGUGAGUAACACGUGGGUGAUCUGCCCUGCACUUCGGGAUAAGCCUGGGAAACUGGGUCUAAUACCGGAUAGGACUCCGGACUGCAUGGUCUGGGGUGGAAAGCUUUUGCGGUGUGGGAUGGGCCCGCGGCCUAUCAGCUUGUUGGUGGGGUGAUGGCCUACCAAGGCGACGACGGGUAGCCGGCCUGAGAGGGUGACCGGCCACACUGGGACUGAGAUACGGCCCAGACUCCUACGGGAGGCAGCAGUGGGGAAUAUUGCACAAUGGGCGCAAGCCUGAUGCAGCGACGCCGCGUGAGGGAUGACGGCCUUCGGGUUGUAAACCUCUUUCAGCAUCGACGAAGCGAAAGUGACGGUAGGUGCAGAAGAAGGACCGGCCAACUACGUGCCAGCAGCCGCGGUAAUACGUAGGGUCCGAGCGUUGUCCGGAAUUACUGGGCGUAAAGAGCUCGUAGGUGGUUUGUCGCGUUGUUCGUGAAAACCCACAACUCAAUUGUGGGCGUGCGGGCGAUACGGGCAGACUGGAGUACUGCAGGGGAGACUGGAAUUCCUGGUGUAGCGGUGGAAUGCGCAGAUAUCAGGAGGAACGCCGGUGGCGAAGGCGGGUCUCUGGGCAGUAACUGACGCUGAGGAGCGAAAGCGUGGGGAGCGAACAGGAUUAGAUACCCUGGUAGUCCACGCCGUAAAUGGUGGGUACUAGGUGUGGGUUUCCUUCCUUGGGAUCCGUGCCGUAGCUAACGCAUUAAGUACCCCGCCUGGGGAGUACGGCCGCAAGGCUAAAACUCAAAGGAAUUGACGG